CCUACGGGUGGCAGCAGUGAGGAAUCUUGGUCAAUGGGCGGAAGCCUGAACCAGCCACGUCGCGUGAGGGAUUAAGGCCCUGCGGGUCGUAAACCUCUUUUGCCGGGGAGCAGAGGUCCGGACGUGUCCGGGCCGGGAGAGCACCCGGAGAAAAAGCAUCGGCUAACUCCGUGGCAGCAGCCGCGGUAAUACGGGGGAUGCGUCAGUCAUUCGAAUUUAUUGGGGUUAACGGGUGGGUGGGCGGGCAUUUCAGCAGUCGGGCAAAUGUCGUGGGUAAACACCGGCCUGCCGUUGAUACUGGGUGCCUUGAGGGGACGAGAAGUAUGCGGAAGGCGUGGUGUAGCGGUGAAAGGCAUAGAUAUCACGCAGAACCCCGAUGGCGAAGGCGGCAUACCGGCGCCCUACUGACGCUGAGGCACGAAAGUGUGGGUAGCGAACAGGAUUAGAUACCCGAGUAGUC
rnacentral:rRNA from 1 species